CCUACGGGAGGCAGCAGUGGGGAAUAUUGGACAAUGGGGGGAACCCUGAUCCAGCCAUGCCGCGUGUGUGAAGAAGGCCCUCGGGUUGUAAAGCACUUUCAGUGAGGAAGAACGCCUGGUGGUUAAUACCCAUCAGGAAAGACAUCACUCACAGAAGAAGCACCGGCUAACUCCGUGCCAGCAGUCGCGGUAAUACGGAGGGUGCGAGCGUUAAUCGGAAUUACUGGGCGUAAAGCGCGCGUAGGUGGCUUGAUAAGCCGGUUGUGAAAGCCCCGGGCUCAACCUGGGAACGGCAUCCGGAACUGUCAAGCUAGAGUGCAGGAGAGGAAGGUAGAAUUCCCGGUGUAGCGGUGAAAUGCGUAGAGAUCGGGAGGAAUACCAGUGGCGAAGGCGGCCUUCUGGACUGACACUGACACUGAGGUGCGAAAGCGUGGGUAGCAAACAGGAUUAGAUACCCCAGUAGUC
rnacentral:rRNA from 1 species